GACGUUUCUUCUGUGCUUGUGGUACUAUUUCUAUAAAUAUUCCGAACUUGCUCGUAGAAUUCUUCUUGGCUCUAAAAAGUUUUGAAUUUCUUCUAGUUUUCUAAAAGAAUUGAAAAGAUUUUCUUCUGAAAUUCGUGAUCGGGAUGAAGAUUAUUUUGCUCUUCUUCGUUGCCUUUUAUUUCGUCAGCAGAAGUGAUGCGGCAUCAAGUUCCAGAUCCUGCUCGAAUAACAAGUGCACUUACAGCUACGACCCCAAUGGAAACGCGGCCAUGUCACAAAGUUUCAGUGGAUAUAACGGUGGCCGAGCAGUUUCUGGAGCUAGGAGUCCUGGAAACAUGCUUCUAAGAGGUCUGCAAUAUGGUCCAAGCAAUUUUAGGCUUCCAUUCUUUUUCGGCAGAAAGUGAUGCUCAGACUCAUUGUAAAGUAAGUAAGAUUUUUUCACAUGCACCAGACUACUUUUGGGCUUUGAAAUCGCAGACUACUGAAAAAAAAAAAUCAUCUGGAACUACAUUACAAAGCGGACUCCAGUCAAUAAGAAUUUACUGAAUGCUGAACAAACCAAGGCAUCAUUUCUAUGAACAAGAAUUAAUCGAUCUCAAUGAAGUGAUCAACAAUCGCACGGAUCAAAACUGAAACUUGAAUGAAUAAAUUAAUAAAAUAAAAAAAACAUUAUGUGUAUAAAUAAGCCACAUUUUCACUUUUGGAGCAUUGGAGAUCUGGUCUCUGAACUACAUGUACUAUUUGGUGAGGUGAAUCGAAAAUAAAAAUAUUUCACUUCUU